ensembl:snRNA U6 U6 spliceosomal RNA
GUGCUCUCUUUGGCAGCACAUAUAUUGAAAUUCAAAUGACAGAGAGGAGAUUAGCAUGGCCCCUGUGCAAGGAUGACAUGCAAAUUUAUGAAGCCUUCCAUAUAAUA